UUAACAACGACUUUACAAUAUCAACGACUUCACAAAAUUUGGAACGAUACAGAGAAGAUUAGCAUGGCCCCUGCGCAAGGAUGACACGCACAAAUCGAGAAAUGGUCCAAAUUUUUUUUCCAAUUUCCCCCUGAAUCGAUGUUCUGGAACUUCUUCACAUUUUUCCUUUUCCUGCAUUUCUGCUCGUGGUUGAUAUUGUUCUCGUCCAAAAAUCUAUGCCUUUAGGGCUUGAAACCACUGACCACAAAUCUGAAUUUGUGAGUAACAAGAUUGACAGCGUUCUAUGCUUUCUCGUCCAAAAAUCUAUGCUUUUAGGGCUUGAAACAACAGACUACUGACCUUCUGGGUUUUGUUUGAAAACGAUUUUGGGUCUGUGCCAAGUAGGGAAGCUCACUGGAUUAUCCCAUGUAUGUUUGCCAUGUGAAGAAACUAUUUGGCCAAUCCAUUUAGUCCAGAAGUUGUGGGACUAUCCAGAUUAAUUAGUUAUGUGUUCACGUAAGUUCCAAUAAGCUCCGCAACUUGUCUCGGAGUCCUACUGAAGUCUUUAUUUUUAAUUUAAAAAUUCACAUAAGUGAAGCAUCUACCUUGACAUAUGGCAUGUUUUCUUUUGGUUUGGAACUUGUUUCAUGAACAAUGGUUGAGAGAGGGGAACCCAGGUGAUGGGAGUGUUCCUUUUGAGCCUCAGAGAAAAGUUCCCUCAUGGAAGAUUCCUGGUAAUUUAGGAAUCUUACUCAACUAUCAGACACAUAGACCCAAUUCCUGAUUUAACCACUUUACAUAAUUUGUUACAGAAGCAACUGUGGGCUUAUUGCCUGGAGAACCAUGGCUAUUUUUGGGAAAGUUCAGCAAAUAACUGCCCUUCUGUCACUACUCUUACUUGUCAGUUGCAAUUUCUUUUUUGCCUUGGGAAUUUAGCUGAUUGUCCGGCUAUGUGAGAUUUGUAUGAGGUUUCUUAAUGAUCAUCUUUGGCAAUUUCAAUAUCAUUCAACAAAAGAGCAGUAGGGGGGAGAAAAAAGAAUUACAAAGGUUGAACUUCUUGAGACAGAACUUUCCUUGGAGAAGUGAUGUAGAAUGGCGAAUCUAUGAGAGAAAGGGAAGGAUCCAAAGAUAUUUCUCAUUCUUUUUGAUAGUUAAUUCGGUUGAGCAUAGUCAUUUAUUAUUUAUUCUCUUGCUUUUCCUUUGUAUUGUUUCCAUGCGUUCAUCUUCUUUUGCUUUACCUGUUUCUUUCAUUUGGAAGAGGAUGCCAGCAGGGGUGGGGGUUAGGAAUCUCUUAGGUGGACUUGCACUCUUGGGCAGCUAGCUAUGUUAAGUUAUAAAAAUGAGUUUUACUAGAUGUAAUCAUGUAAGUAUGAAUAGAGUUUUUGUGGUACAUUUUCCACCUGCA